GCAGAAGAAAAGCGAGGGUAGCUGAGCUAGAUUUGGGGUAGGGAGAAGUUGGAUCUCAAUCAUGGUGAGGCAUGGCCAACUACGUCACGUUGCUCCAUCGACUGUUCUUAGAAACCCGCCAUCCCUCUUCUCCCAUUCCUCACCUUCCUUCGCGGCAUUGCCGGCGGCUGCGGCCCGACGAUUCCGAUUCGGGCAGCGGCAGCAGCAGGAGGAACGGUGGCUCCGGCGGGCUCCGUGGCGGCCUCUGUAGCAGUCCCAACCCUGCGGACGAUCUCAAGUGCCUCUUGCUUCCCAGCGUCUAGAGCUUUCUGCGCAGGCGCCGCGGGCUGAAGCGCUCUUUCCUUCACUUCCGGCUGGGGCUCGCAUCACGUGACGUUAUGGGCCAGAGAGGGUGCUGGGAGGUUCUUUCCUUUGGGUGAAGCUAAUGAGCGCCAUUUUGGAAUUGGGCAGGAAGUGACACAAAUAAUAGAACCUUGGGCCGACCAUUUUUAGUUUGAUCUGGAUGAAGAGGCCCACACAUGGAAUCCUACCACUUGGGAGGCUGAGGCAGGAGGACUGCUGUGAGCUCCAGGCCAGUUUGGGCUACGUAGUUGAAGGCCAGCCUGGAAUACAUAGUGAGACCCUGUCAGCCAGGUAUGGUGGUGGAUGCCUGAAAUCCCAGCUAUUCUGGAGCCCUAGGGAGGAAAAUUCCAAAUUUGAGGCCAGCCUGGGUGAUUUAGCAAGAUCUUGUCUCAAAACAAAAAGGGAUGCAGCUGUAACUCAGUAUAAAGGCCCUGGGGUCACUUCUCAGUACCCAAAAAUAAAUAAGAAAAGGUCUGGAGAUGUAGCUCAGCGUGAAGCCCCUGGGUUCAAUUCCUAGUACUGCAGAGGGAGGGGAAGAAUUUGGUUUUGCUUAGAUAUGGUUCUUAUCCUUGGCAUGUGCACAUUCUGUUGGAAAGAUGAAGAAAACUAAUUCCAGUAGGAUAGAAAUAUGAUCUUAAGGAGAAAAAUGUGUUCUUGAGAGGACAGUAGACCAGCUAGGUAUAUUUAGAAUAAGGAAGAAAAGUCUUAAAAGCUCUCUGUUUUUCUUUUUAACCAACUAUAAUCUUUACUUGGAGAGUCAUUUUCAUCACAACACAAUUACAAGCAGGAACUGUUGGCUUCAAAGUCUUUCCCCAGUGACCUCUGCCCAUUCUCAUCUCCCAGACCCAACAUGGGCACAAUCCAAAGUUCUCCCCACAUUUGCACUUCCUCACGGGCUCUUCUUCUUACUUGAAUGUAUUUCCCAAUCCUCUUUAGAAAGAUCUUUCUUCAGAGCCAGACGUAAUGGGCCACACUUGUCAUCCCAGCAUUCACAGACAAGAGGUUCACAGGUUUCAGGAC
rnacentral:lncRNA from 1 species